rnacentral:lncRNA from 10 species
GAAGGAGGAAAGGAGUGAGCAUGUCCUGCUCCUGCAUGUCCCUGCUUAAGCUCAGGACUGGCCCUUCCAGGCCAAGGACCCCAGCAUAGACCCCAGGACAGGGCCCCAAGGAUCCCUGGCUCAUGAGAGCGGCUUGCUGGGCUGCCCCAAGAGAGCCUGAAGGAAACACAUUGUUGAGCUGAGCUGACGUCGCUGUUUCUUCCAGACUGCUCUCUAAAGUGGGCAGGGUAGCGACCGGCCGGCUCCGAUGGUGACGUCCCACUGCCAAGGGGUGGGAGUGGGGAGAGUCUCCACAGAGCUUCGGAGAAGCUGCUAAGAUGGAAAAGUGGAAACUUGGCAGACAGAUCCAGCCUCCCUGGCCACUGGCCCAUGCUCGUGGCUCCUGGAUGGCGCUGCCACGUUCUGAGCAGCUUGGGACAGGUGGAGAUCAGGACUGGCAGCUGCAAGGACACACCAGAGCCACAGAAACUAAAGAGAAUUUCCAAAAGGAGUCUAUGGUGAAGUCUCUGAGGAUGCAAAGAAGACAAGGAGAAUGAAAAUCCAAUGAAAGCCUGAUUGUAUUUGUUGACCUUAAGGAAAGUGAUUUUAUGGUACAGCCUCUCUGGAAGGGAGGGUGUGUUCGCUCACAGAAUGCAAAUACCCUUUGACCCCCUAAUCUUUCUUCUAGGAGUUUCUCCUACAGAUAAACUUAGAAGGGUGCUCAAAUAAGUAAGUUCAAGGAUAUCCUCUGAAGCAUUGCCGUAGUAUAAAAAAAGCACAGAUACCCUCAAAGGACAUCAUUAGGGGCCUGGUAAAAUAAAUUCCACACAGUGGAACACCGUGUAGCUCUUUAGAGAAUAAACAGCUCUCUAUAUGUGAUCUGGAA